AUUGAACGCUGGCGGCAGGCCUAACACAUGCAAGUCGAGCGGUAGAGAGAAGCUUGCUUCUCUUGAGAGCGGCGGACGGGUGAGUAAUGCCUAGGAAUCUGCCUGGUAGUGGGGGAUAACGUUCGGAAACGGACGCUAAUACCGCAUACGUCCUACGGGAGAAAGCAGGGGACCUUCGGGCCUUGCGCUAUCAGAUGAGCCUAGGUCGGAUUAGCUAGUUGGUGAGGUAAUGGCUCACCAAGGCGACGAUCCGUAACUGGUCUGAGAGGAUGAUCAGUCAGACUGGAACUGAGACACGGUCCAGACUCCAACGGGGGGCAGCAGUGGGGAAUAUUGGACAAUGGGCGAAAGCCUGAUCCAGCCAUGCCGCGUGUGUGAAGAAGGUCUUCGGAUUGUAAAGCACUUUAAGUUGGGAGGAAGGGUUGUAGAUUAAUACUCUGCAAUUUUGACGUUACCGACAGAAUAAGCACCGGCUAACUCUGUGCCAGCCGCCGCAGUAA
rnacentral:rRNA from 1 species